ensembl:lncRNA
CCGAGAGAGAGAGGUAGAAACCGAGAGAGAGAGGAAGAAACCGAGAGAGAGAGGAAGAAACCGAGAGAGAGGAAGAAACCAAGAGAGAGGAAGAAACCAAGAGAGAGGAAGAAACCAAGAGAGAGGAAGAAACCGAGAGAGAGAGGUAGAAACCGACAGAGAGAGGAAGAAACCAAGAGAGAGGUAGAAACCGAGAGAGAGAGGUAGAAACCGAGAGAGAGAGGUAGAAACCGAGAGAGAGAGAGGUAGAAACCGAGAGAGAGAGGAAGAAACCGAGAGAGAGAGGAAGAAACCGAGAGAGAGAGGAAGAAACCGAGAGAGA